rnacentral:rRNA from 1 species
AGGACGAACGCUGGCGGCGUGCUUAACACAUGCAAGUCGAGCGGAAAGGCCCUUCGGGGUACUCGAGCGGCGAACGGGUGAGUAACACGUGAGCAACCUGCCCUUAGCUUCGGGAUAGCUCCGGGAAACCGGAAUUAAUACCGAAUAUGAUUUUUGCUGACAUCAGCAGAAGUGGAAAGGUUUUCGGCUAGGGAUGGACUCGCGGCCUAUCAGCUAGUUGGUGAGGUAACGGCCCACCAAGGCGACGACGGGUA